ACUCCCGAGAAUCUUCUUCCGCUUUGUUUAUGGUUGAAUCCCGGCGAAAACAGCCUGAGAAAAACGCGUGACGAUUUCCCUUUGUUUCAUUGAAAGAUCUAGAACCAGGUGUGUAACUGAUCAUGGGUCCCAAGAGAGAAGCACCUGCAGAUGAUGUUGCUGGAGAUGUGAAUGUCAAGAAAGCAAAGACAGAGGGAGGUGAGCCCGCAAGUGUGAAGAAAGGCAGAGGCAGACCUCGUCUUGCAGAGAACGCAAAGAAAACGGGGGCUGGAGACACAGAUGCCAAGAAAGCCAAAACAGAGGGUAAAGAACCAGUUAAGAGAGGCCGAGGCCGACCUCCUAUACCUGAUGAAUUUAAAGUGCAGCCUAAGCCCCCAAGUGGAAAGCCGAGAGGUCGCCCACGCAAGUUCAAGUCUAAGAAUAAUACUGUGAAGAAAAAUGGAAGUUCGGAGGGAAGAGGCCGAGGUCGACCAAAGAAAGUCCCUGUUGAGCCUGCGUCUGAAGAAGAUGAAGAGGAGGAUUCUGUUGAAGAGAACAGUGCAGGAGAAGAAGCAUGUGAGGUCAAACCUGCAAAGAGCUCCCCCAAGAAGAAUAAUGCAGAGAAGAAAAGUGCAGCUCCAUCGGGAAAGGGUCGAGGUCGACCAAGGAAAGUCCCUGUUGAGCCUGCGUCUGAAGAAGAUGAAGAGGAGGAUUCUGUUGAAGAGAACAGUGCAGGAGAAGAAGCAUGUGAGGUCAAACCUGCAAAGAGCUCCCCCAAGAAGAAUAAUGCAGUGAAGAAAAGUGCACCUCCAUCAGGAAAGGGUCGAGGUCGACCAAAGAAAGUCUCUGUUGCGCCGGAACCUGAGAAAGAUGAAGAAGAUGAUUUUGAAGUUGUGGAAGAGCUCUCAGCUGAAGAGGAAGUGUCGAGUGAGAAGAGCUCCCCCAAGAAGAAGAGAGGUCGACCUAAGAAGGUGUCAGGGAAGAAGCAGUCAGCUGGGUCGGAGGAAGGUGUGUAGCCAUCAGGUGCUUGCCAGGGCACACAUAUCUUUGUACAUUCUGCUGAGAAUGUGUCCCCAGCUGACUCGUGACCUCACACACAUCAUCUCUCGGAUCAUCACUGGACUCCCCCCUACCAUUCACUGCCACAGGUCACAGUGACCUAGGUCACCUUGACCUACUGAUCAUGUGUACAGACUCCACACAUCACGUUUCCUCUCUGUACAAAGAUGCAACAUGCACACACAACCAACUUACCGUAAUCAACAUAUUAACUGUGCCCUGGGCAAAUCACUAAUUUUUUUAACAUGAUUUUAAAAAAUCAUUAAUGGAAAGUGUAGUAAACAGGGUUAUCUGAUUUUGGAAAAUUAUUUUGUAUGUUUCUUGCUUCACUCUAAAUAUGUUGAUUACGGUACUUACAUUCAUAGGGCAUUCAUAUAUUUUUAAAUUUUUAAAUAGUAUCAGAAGCAGUGUGUCUAAUGCCACAGCAAAUUUGUCAUUGUUCUUUUUGUGAUGCAAAGAUGACAACAUUACUCUCUCUAGACAGAAAUAUUUUACUUCUUUUCUAGAAUAUAGACUAAAAAAUCUUUUGUUAUGUCAGAUAGUGUUUUGCAUUUUGCAUGGAACUUUUGUUAUAUCAGCAUAUUUCUGAUGAAAUUUAAUGUUGAAAUUAUUUUGAUUGCAUAUAGGACUCCACAGAGAAAGAGUUCUCUGGUGUUAUGUAUAGGCCUACUAUAACCUUAAUAUACACCUGGAAAAUAAUUAAGCACCACUUACGAUAUAUUUCAAUAAGAAUCGUAACCUGUAUUGAUUUUUGCUGUUGACAAAGUUACUUAUCUAGAAAUACAUACCAAAGUGGUUUCUGUAAUAACUACUGUUGAAUGCCCAUAGCUAUUUGGCUACCUUUUCAAUGGCUUCCUCUGCUCUAUUGUAUCAAAUAUGACCUGGUCCUUGCAACAAUCUGGAGGAACUUGUUUUGUUACCUGAACCACCUUUCCAUCAGUGAUGUUUGUGUCCGACAUACAUGAAAAUUGGGGGCAGGGGUAGACCAGUCGUAUAAGGCGCCGCAAUUCGCUGUGCAGAGUUGCGUCCCUUGGGCACACCAGAAACCUAAGAUUGUGGGUUCGAAUCCCGGUUCGCCCGAUUAUGUAUCUAGGUUUGUCAGCACCACACCUGUGCUCUGGGUUUCACCGAAGUGGUAAACGCCUGGGCCUGUAUCAAUUCAGGCUUUCCUCCCACAUUAAGCUGACACGCCGUGAUAUAACUGUAAUACUGUUAAAAGCAGCGUUAAACUCAACUCACUCACUCCAUGAAAAUGAGGCCCAUAUCAGGGGUAGAUAUUUCAAAAAGAUACAUCUCCAGGAUAUACGUGACAUAGGAAAAUAAAGGCGUGAUGCAUAACUUUUUCCCAGCUGUAUAUUGUGUUUGUGUUGCAUCUUUAACAUGCUUAAUACUAUUCCAAACUGUUUUAGUCAUGAACGUUUGUGUGUUGUGAUUUUUACAUAAAAAAAUCUUAAUUGUGCAGCUAGGAACGUAACGUCUCUUCACAAUGUUGUGUCUUGUCUUUUUCUGCCAGUGUAAGAUUCGUGAAGGACUCAUUUAGAAUCAGGACUAGUGCAUUGAUUGUGUUUGACGUAAACCUAGGUGGCCGAAGGUGGUUGAUAAAAAUGCAAGCAACGACAAACAUGUUUCAUGAACAAUUAUUCAACUGUGUGGCACUUCUAUGAUACCUAUUUACUGCACAUUUUGUACCAAGUUUAUUUGACUUGAAAUAUGAAUGAACAAGGUUAACGUUGAAAUGUUUCUUAACAGUCAAAUUUUGUUUUAGACCGCAGGAAUAAGCACAAUAACGAUAUACCAACCUGAGUCUGAUUGUGUGAUGUGUAGAGUAGAGUAAAUGUAUGAUAAUUAAAGAUGCCAUUGUUUGUGUAAGGCUUGCAUUGUGUGGUCAGCUUAUAGACAGAUAUUUCAUAGUAUUAAGUCCCACUUUUAGAAAGAGCAACUAAAAGGAUACUUUUGAGGGGGAAAUAGUGUUAUUUUGAGAUAGAACUAUGGUUGACUGUAAUUUAUUUUUUUACAGCUGAUUAAUCAAACUGUCUGAGAUAUCUUAAUAAGUUCAUCUUCUUUUACCAAAGAAUUGCCAAAAUGAUUUCCUUGGUCAGAAGUUUAUCAGUAUUUUUCAAAUGUGUCACCAGCAGCAUGGGAUGCCAUCCAUGUAAAACAAAAUCUGGCAAUUUUUAGUAGUUUCUCAUUUGUGGCAGUCUAAUCUGAUAAUGACGUUUACCAAAAAGAAUUUCAAGUGUAUACCCAUUAAACUUUAGGAAUCAUGAAUAUUUUGGGGGUUAUUUUUUGGUAGUGGAGACUGAGCACACAAUUUCAUAAAGGUGUCCCCAAAAUAUUGUACUUAACCACUGCCUAUCAUGCUGUAAUCAUGGUCGACCGAAUGAAAAUAUUCAUCAUAUGAUGUCCUUGCCAUACCAAAGGUUUUUGUAACAAUAUAUAUGUUUUGUAACGGAAAGCCAGCCAAAUCACUGGCCUCACAAGAAAUAUGUUUGUUUUGUCGCAAUUAACCAAAUUAAUAGAGAGUUAGAAUCUCAACCCGUGCAGAUUAUGUCUUCAACUGCUUCUUUGCUUUGUAUUUCCUGGUUCUAUUACAGUCUGAUCACAAUUUGGUCAUCAUUGAGGCUGUUACUGUGUCUCUAAUCUUUGAAGAUAUAGAUGUAACAAGCAAUUAAAAGAAAUUGAACCUCAUGAAUAACUAUAGAGUUGACCAGCUCUGUUUGAAUAUUGCAGCCUCUUUUGAUUAUGGGGCGGUCGGGUAGCCUAGUGGUUAAAGCGUUCGCUCGUCACUCCGAAGACCCGGGUUUGAUUCCCGACAUAGGUACAAUGUGUGAAGCCCAUUUCUGGUGUCCCCCGCCUUGAUAUUGCUGGAAUAGUGCUAAAAGCAGCGUAAAACCAUACUCACUCACUCACUCUUUUGAUUAUAACACUCUAAAUUUGCUUGGAGCCAUCUCUAUUUGAUAAAUAAAAUUGUCAUGAUGUUGUACUACCUAAAACAUCCAAAACACUUCUCAAAGGUUUGGGAUUUUGGUAUAUUUUGAACAAGAACUGAUGUUUGUUUUGGUUUUGUAUGAUUAUACUGCUUCCAAUCUAGAGGUCUGCAGAUUUAGUGUAGUUAGUCGAGGGAAGGCUUUUUUUGUUUUAUUCAAUCUUUGCUUUAAUGAAAUAUGUCAUGUACAAUCAGAGACAGAAUUGCCAGAAGAUCAGAAAUUGAUAUGAGCUUCCAGUGUGUAAACCAUCACUAAACCUCGCUAUUUUAUGCAGGGGAGUAUUUGCACUUAUGCUUAAGAGUUUGAUGAUUAAAGGUAUUUUGUUUCUUGAAUUGCUGGAGUUUUAGAUUGCUUGAUUGUGGUUUGUCUUGCAUUUUAAGCUUAAAAUUUGAGCAAUAUAUGUACUGUAAUUCCUACUGUCAUUAUUUCAGUCAGUAAUAAAUUUUUAAUACGAAA